AUGUUGGGCUGCCAACUGUUAUAAAUCUUGUGCUACUUACAGCUUCAGCUUUUCUUCAAGCCUACUCCACCCCCUGCUGUGGUUUUGACUGUUGGAGCAACAUUAGGAGGCACAACUGAAAGCAGUAAUAUUGACAUUUGUGGGGAAAAUAAGAGAAAAUGCAAGGCACAAAUGUUUCAUUGCUAGAACUGCAUGUAUAAGACCUGUAGCCGCAGAGAUCUGGGCUCUUUGACAGUGGAAAAGGGGAUUUGCCCCCUGCAAUAUUUACCUGUAGCUGUACACAUUCCCACCAGCUUGUUUUCUAAGUGUAACUGCUUGUAACCUCGCACGUGCUUCCCCACUGUCAUAUCAUAUUAAAUGAGCUAUAAUUGUAGUCUAUUAGAGUGCAAUAACCUAAAAGUGAUAGUGCAUGACAGCACCUGUCAACACGUCAUGGAGGAUUGUAUGGAAUGCUGAAUUAUACCCAUUUUAUACCACAUUAAUGAGGCAGCUCAUUCUUAUCCAGUCAUAAAUAAACAGGUUUCAAUUUCUUUAUACACCAUGAGAAGCUGUUUUUCUCCUUCUGCACAGAGAGCCACAGAAGUCAUGAUAAAGUGAUCUAUUGCCUGAAAAGGAAUAUCACAGUGUGGUCAUUAAUGACAGUGAGGAUGCUAUUUUUACCAUUAUUAAUUGUUCUAUGAAUACAUUUUGGUAUGACUGCUUCUUUCCAUUUUUUUCUGGAGAAGAAAAUAGAGAAACACAUAAAGAAAAACAAGAGUGGUUGUUCCUAAUAAACUUUUAAUAUAAAAUAAAUUACUUGUCUGAUUGCUUCAGCAGCACCCAUAGACAGAGUAAUACAGGCAGAAACCUGAUCCCCUUUAAGAUCAAUGGCUGUGCUGGGGCCUAGUUCUCCUUCAUAAACUCUUAAAGUCAGUUUUGAAAUGGGAACGAGAAGAGAAAAAAGGAAAAUGACAGUAGGGAGAAGAAAGAAGAGAGUGAGAGGCUUUCAGACUAAUCAAAAGAAAAGCAAAUGUAUCAAAGCACAUGUAUAGUCCCCAUUAUUUUCUGUAACCUAACUAGAUCAAGGUGUCUUCAUUUCGAAUAGCUGCUUAGGCUUCAGAGCCAUAAAUAAUCGCCUGUGGUCUUCUGCUGAGCCCACGUGAGGAGAGGUUGAUACAGUCCCCUGCGAGCAAAGAUCUCACCUCCCUGACCCAGACAGAGGCCCAGAGCACCGAAUACACCAGGAAGAAGAGCCAGCUUGAAAGCACAGCCCACAGGAGGCAUGCCAGCUUUUCCUUACAGAGUGAAAAAGAGAGAUCCAGCCUUGGGACCUGACACCCGGACAGUCAGCAUGACCAGACAAUGGUCUCACUCAUCUUUGGCUCCACACAGGAACCCCCAGUUUGCCCUCUGCACCUAGGGUAACCACCAGCAUGCCAAAGGAAUGAUGACUUUGGAACUACAGGGAAAACCCAUGAUGUUUACCUGAAUACUCUGACACCACAGGCUAUUUUAUUCUGAUUUAUUUCUCAGGACUGGUGUUUAGUAAUUUUACCAGUAGUGGUUUUUAUGGACUGCUUAAGAAUAAUCUCCUUCAUUUGUCAAGUCUUAUUUAUGCUCUUUAUAUAUUACUUAAAAAUAAAAAACUAAACAAUUUCAAAAAUAAAUAAAAAAUUUCUUCACUGGAA